ACCUCGCUUCGUCAGAGUGCAUUCUGGGAUAGCGAGCGUCUUCCUUCUGCUGUGAAGGUUAAAGUCUUUGUCCGUCGCUUCUGAGACUCGCCAUCAACAAACACCGUAAGUAAUCUAUCUAAAUGCCAUGCUACUGUCACACCCAUUUGCUUAAUGGUUAGUGUGUGUACUAGCGCCGCUGCUUCUCGUUCCUAUUUGGAGAUCAUAUCUCCGGUCCGUUAAUCCUGACUUUCAAACCUCUUACCUGCAAAAAACCCUCCAAUGACCUCUUCCUCGUUCAUCGCUCUCACCUGUAACUUCUCAUUUACUCUCAUUAAUUACAUUAACCUCCAAACAAAAAAAGAAGCCUCUUUCAGGGAUCAGUCUUUGCGUGGUCACUCGAUAUGAACGAAAUAGUUGCUAAAUAUCCUUCGAAUCACACACUUCAGUCUUAAAAAGGAAAACGAAGGACAUAGAUAAUGUCCUGAAUACGCUUUAUGGUCAUGGCUGGAAUGUCCUUACCAUUGUUCUGCAGAAUCAAACUGAGUUUUCGCUAAACAACAACCUGUCUAAUCUAUUUAGAUUCAGGUUAAUAAUUAAAAGUAAUAGAUUAUUCAUUUAAAUGAAGUCAAAAUUAUUCCUCGUUACCACGCCACCCAUUUUUAUUAUUAUUAAUUAGUCUGUAUUAAUUGUAUCCUUUAAACAACUAUUUCAUUAAUUUCAGAACGUUAAAUAUUCCUAUGUGGUUAUUUUGUACUUUAAUUUAAGAAAUUGAACAGAAAGGAAAGACAUUUCCGCGAACCAAUUUACAAAACUAGUUUCUGAAUGCUGAGUUCUGUUUUGUUCAACAACCUUGCUUGACUACUUUUGUAGGCAAGGAGAAGCGACAAUAUAAUCUAUUUCUUUACUGCCCACAAGGGGCUACACACAGAGGGAACAAACAAGGACAGACAAACGGAUUAAGUCGAUUAUAUCGACCCCAGUGCGUAACUGGUACUUAUUUAAUCGACCCCCGAAAGGAUGAAAGACAAAGUCGACCUCGGCGGAAUUUGAACUCAGAACGUAACGGCAGACGAAAUACGGCUGAGCAUUUCGCCCAGCGUGCUAACGUUUCUCCCAGCUCGCCGCCUUUAGCGACAAUAUACUCUUCUCAUUAAAGAUAAGCGAAAAUAUCCACCCAAUAACGCGGUGAAGAUCUUUAUUUCAUUGACUUUUGAAAGAUAAGAUACGAAUGUAUGUUACUUAAUGUAUCGACCCCGGAAGAUUGUAUAGUCGACCGAGUUGGAGUGACUGACUUCUGAAACGAAAAAGACCAAACUAAAUUCUAUAAUGUAUUUAGUCCUUCGCUUUGUUCUCUCACCACACACAACACUGCUCGGUGGAGAUAUUUCAUGUACCACGAGGAGGCUAUAUAUUUCUCCGUGGGUUUUGUCCUUCCACUUUCGAGAGUCAGUGAUGAAAUAAAUUUCACUAAUACCUACUUUAAAGCACCAAUAAAUUCUCUAUAUUUUAGUCCAAAUGAAAGUAAAAUGCUACACAUCAGAUAUCAAUAUUCUCUUUUACUUCUCUUAUCCGUCAAUAGAUGAACAACUCCAAUUCUCUUCGUCGUAGCAUACAGACAAUCUGUAGCCCCAGGUUAGCUGUGAUCAAAGGUGUUCUAAUCAUGGCCUGCACGUUUGUUAUUUAGUUUAACAGAUUUGGCUACUAUUUUUAGCAAUUUCAGUGACCACAUAAAUUUCAUUUAUAUAUCAUCAUCGUUUAACGUCCGAUUUCCAUGCUAGCAUGGGUUGGACAGUUCGACAGGGGUCUAGGAAGCCAGGAGGCUGCACCAGGCUCCAGUCUGAUCUGGCAGUGUUUCUACAGCUGGAUGCCCUUCCUAACGCCAACCACUCCGUGAGUGUAGUGGGUGCUUUUUACGUGCCAGAGGAGGCUGGCAAUAGCCACGAUCGGUUGGUGUUUUUUACGUGCCACCGGCACAGGUGCCAGGGUAGGCUGGCAACGGUCACGAUCAGUAGGUGCUUUUUAUGUGCAGGGAUAUAGAUAUAUAUAUAUAUUCGAAAUAAGACUUGGAAGAAGAAGAAACGAAAUUUUUCCACUGUCUAAGCUUUUAAAAAAGCCCUUAUUGUUGGUUUCUUUGUCCUGUCUUUUACUGUUUUUAUCUUUAUUUGUACUGUUUUAUUUUCUUGAUUUGUAUUGCUUUUACGUCAUGUUCUUGUCACUUUUUUUUACCCCUCUGCAAAAAAUUUUAUUUAAUUCAUUUUACGGGAAGGACUGCUUCAGCGUGGUCGUGUUCUGCCCUUACCUUCGAAACACGCAUUGAGUUGAACCAGGGGCAGCUGAAGAAGGGGAAUGUUUCUUGUGUUGUUUGUCUUGUACUCUGUUUUUUUGUUGUUAAAAAAAAGUCCGUUUCCUUGUUUGGUUUUAUGUUUUCGUUUCUCGUUGUGUUCUACGUUUACUUGUGGUGUCCUGUACUCAUAUAUGCAUGUAUAUAUACAUAUAGAUGUAGGUAUAUAUGUAUGCAUAUGUUUUAUUUAUUAAAUUGUUAUAUAUAUAUAUAUAUAUAUUCAUCAAUUAAUGUCCAUUUUCCAUGCUGGCAUGGUUUGAUAGGAACUGGUGAACCAGAGGAUUGUGCCAAGCUUCACUAUCCUAACGCCAACCAUGUUGCAGAGUGGACUAGAUGUUUUUUUUGUUUUGUUUUUUUUUUUACAUGGCACCAACACUGGCAAGGUCACCAAGUAACAUUGCAAGAAAAAGAUGUCUCAAAUGAGAUGUGGGGUAUUGGAGGGAGGUAGCUUCAUGACAAGUGAUGAGACAUUAGAAUAUGACAAAGGGACGAAAAUGAGGGUCUUGUAGGAGAGAUAUAUGAUUGCUCUAGUCAGGUUUGUGUGUGUGUAUAUAUUCUUUAACUUGUUUCAGUCAUUUGAUUGUGGCCAUGCUGGAACACUGCCUUUAGUCUAACAAAUCGACGCCCAGGACUUAUUUUUUGUAAGCCUAGUACUUGUUCUAUUGGUCACUUUUGCCGAACUGCUAAGUUACAGGGAUGUAAACACCAACAUCGGUUGUCAAGAAAUGUUGUGGACACGGACACACAUAGAUAUAUAUAUAUAUAUAUAUAUAUAUAUAUAUAUAUAUGACAGACUUCUUUCAAAUUCUGUCUACCAAAUCUACUCACAAGGCUUUGAUCAGUCCGAGGCUAUGGUAGAGGACACUUACCCAAGGUGUCAUACUGUGGGACUGAACCUGGAACCGUGUGGUUAGUAAGCAAGCUACUUACCACACAGCCACGCCUUUGCCUAUAUAUAUAUAUAUAUAUAUAAGCGUAGCUGUGUGGUAAGAAGUUUGCUUACUAACCACACGAUUCCAGGUUCAGUCCCACAGAGUAAGGUUGUAAUUUGAUUACGCCAACCCCAGUACUCAGCUGGUAUUUAUUUUAUCGAUCCCCAGAAGGAUAAAAGGUUAAGUUGACUUUUGAACUUAGAACAUAAAAAGGAACAAAAUGCUGCUAAGUGCUUUGCCUGGCGUUCUAACAAUUCUACAAGCUCACUUGAGGUUUUGUAAUAAUACUACAAGAAACAAGAUGAAGAUAUUACAUUUUACCAGAGUUUAUUUAACCCUUUCUCUACUGUAUUUAUUUUGAGAUCCUCUCUGUUUCUUUCAAUUACUUUAAAUAUAACAAAGAAUUUAGUAAAAUAACUUAGUUAUUCAGCUAGUGUUAGAAACAUAAAUUGUGAAUAAGGUUUCGUGGAAGACUUUAAUUCAAAACUUAUGAAAACAAGACAUUUGUAUUACAGAGCCAGAACCGGUUUCAGCUGGGUUGAUAACAAAAGGGUUAAACACUCUUACAGUUUUAUCAGGAUUUGUCAUUUAGAUUAAUUCUCACACUUAAACGCUUUAUGUAAAAUGGUUGGCAUUUGGAAGAGCGUCCAGUUGUAAAAAGCCAUGCCAAAACUGACCUCACCUGUGCUGGUGCCACAUAAAAAACACUCAGCCCACUCUGCAGAGCAGUUGAUAAUAGGAACGGCAUCAAGCCAUAAAAAACCAUGCCAAAACAGAUAGAGAAGUAUGGUGCAGGCUUAUGGAAGGUGGACGUUGAACGAUGAUGUAUUGAUUGAAAUAUAUGGAUGGGUCUUUUCUGUUUGGCUACACUUUUUGAAAGUUUUAAAUUAAGUGAAAAUUUUCAAAUUUGGUGUAUUGAUGUAAUUUUUCAUGCUGAAUCUCAGGGCCUUAAUUCACUUGUUCCAAAAAAAAUUUUCUGAAAAGUUACAGAGGUUUAAAAUUUGAUCAUUUUUACCUGGUCAGAAAACAGGAUUUUGAAGCUAUCAUUUUGUGUGUAGCUGCAGUUAUAAGAUAAGGCAAUAAUGUCAACACUGCAAUGAUAGCACAUGUUUUAAGCAAUUAAUAAAUGAAAAAUAACCAAAAAAAAACUGAGUAGACAACACGUUUUGUUAGUUUUAAGCAUUCAAGGGGUGGAUAUUGAAAAUGCAACAUAAAAUACUAUGGAAACAGGCACUUAUAUGUCUAUAGCUAAAAUUACGAAAAAAAUUUGCAAACUUUAAAAGCUAUUAACUGUUUAUUUAUUGACUUAUGGUGAAAAUGAAUUUCAUGUCAGUAAUUAGCAUACAAAACUAUAUCAAAACACCAAAUUUGAAAGUAAUUGGAACAAAAUUGAAGAAAUUGAAAAGUGGUAACCAAGCAGAAAAGAUCCUAAUGGAUUCAUUAAAAAAUUUUUUUUUUACUCUUUCUAUUUCUCUGUUUUAGAUGGCAUCUACUGUAACCAAAUUAGCAAAACCCAAGAUGAGAAAUCUUCUCACUUCCAGACUUCCUUUAGAACUAGCAAUUGGGACAGUUGUUUCUGUUUCAGUUGGUUUGGCCUGGAAAUUCGGAGUACAACUCCCAAGAAGAGCUAGAUAUGCUGAAUUCUACAAGUAUGUUAUUCAUUUUAUACUUCAAGUGAUCUUUUGCUGUUGAUGAUAACGUUUUGCCCAGAUCAGUCCUGAUUAGACAGGCCUGGUCCCGUCCCAUCUUCCUUUCCAGCAGUUUACAUUUAGGACACCUUUAUUUAAUGUGGUCUUCUCUGUUCAAGACAAAGCCAACAAGAGAUUCAGAUCAACUUGAUACCAAGGGCCAGUGUUAAAGCCCCCGCCCUUUCUGUCAUGAAUGGCCAUGGGAUUGCACUUAGAAAGUUCCCCUCCAAGUCUGAGCAAGGUUGUUUGUGGAAGACCAGCAGUCACCCGAGCAUACCAGUCUUCCUUCUUCAUGACACCAAUGUUAUCCAGGAGAAAGGCAAAGGCUGAUACAGCUUGGCACCAGCGAUCUCACAACUCGCUUCUACAGAUGAGUGAACUAGAGCAAUGCGAAAUAAAAUGUCUUGCUCAAGAACACAACACACAACCCAGCCUGGGAAUCAAACUCACUACUUCAUGAUUGUGAGCCUGAUGCUCUAACCACUGGGCCACGCACCUUCAGGGAUCAGUGUUAUCUCUCUAUAUAUAAACGGCAGUUUGUGUGUCUGUCAGGUUGUACCCUCACCCUGACCACGGCUUUCAACCGAUUCUGAUGAAACUUGACACACACAUAGCCCAAUGUCAUAAUUCAAAACUAACGCAGCGUAAACUUUGAAAAGUUCCCCCAUUUCUGAAAAAGAUCGAUAAAUUCGACAUGGGGUCGAGAAUCUAAGCUUUUUAUAUGCAACACAUUUUCUGUCUAGGGGACACAACUCGACCUUUUUAUCGCCCAAAAGGACAGCUAGGAACAUCGUAUACACAGAAGUAUUCGAGUGAAGAGAAGAUAUUGCAACCUGCACAUGCGCCUUCGUUCCCAAGAGGGAAAGGACUAGAUUGGGAUUAGUCGUUGCCUACUAGGGGCUCUUACAUACCCGGGCAAUGCCGGGCUAUGCUGCUAGUCAUGAGAUAAAAUACAUAUUGUCCUGAUAUAGUUCAUCAUAUACACAAUCACUGUAGAACUGACUUUUAUGUUCAUGUUUUUGUUGGUUAUCUACCUUCCCUGUUGUUAACCAUUCGGGUGUGAAGUAAAAGUUUUUUUUUUUUUUUUUUGGCAAAUUGAAACCAACAGAGCUGUUUUAUUACAGUAAAAUUUGAGCUCAAAGAAAUAUAACCUGCUUGGAUCUUAUCUCUGAUGUGCCUGGAAUUUCAGACAUGGUGCUCAGCCAAAUCUCCAGUGUAACAGAAAUUGGCAAAACCCCAAUGUUAAAAUCUGGUCCAAUUACAACUGAAGAUUAGCUACCAAUGCAGAAUUAAGAUUAUCUACAUUCGUCUACCAAAAGAUGUGCUGUUUAUGUGUUUUGAGUAGCUUUUUUUUUUUUUUUUUUUUCCCCAACUUCUAAAACCAUGAAGCUUUUAGGGAGAAAAGAACCAAAGAGUAUAUUAUUAACAAUUGAUGAGCUCUUCUGCAAAUUUCUGAAGACUAAUAGAAAUCAAGUAUAAUUUGAUGAAAUGUAUCCAGAGAAUGGUUUGGAGUUUGUUGAAGAUGAAAGAUUUUAAGUGGAAAGUGAUACCUUCAAAUGAGGUGGGGACUUGCCGCACAAUCAUCAUCAUCAUCAUCGUUUAACGUCCGCUUUCCAUGCUAGCAUGGGUUGGACGAUUUGACUGGGGACUGGCGAACUAGAUGGCUGCACCCGAGCUCCAAUCUGAUCUGGCAGAGUUUCUACAGCUGGAUGCCCUUCCUAAUGCCAACCAACCAGAGUGUACUGGGUGCCUUUUACAUUGCACCAUCGCCAGAGUUUUUCAUCUGACACCAACACAGAAGCUUUUUAUAUAUAUCUAUAUAAAAAACACGCUUCUUAGUUUCCAUCUACCAAAUCUAUUCAUAAGGCUUUGGUCAGCUUGGGGCUGUAGAAGACACUUGUCCAAUAUGCUGCACUGUGGGACCGAGUUCAAAACCUGGUGGUGGCCAACCAAACUUAACCUCACGCCCAUACCUGUGCCUUAUUGCUUUAUAUUUUCUUUUUUAACUCAAUCCUUCAGAAACAUCUUCAAUAAAUCAUCAUAAUCCUCUCACUUGUUGGCAUUAAGAAGGGCACCCAGCCAUAGAAACCAUGCCUAAACAGACAGCAGAGCUUGGUGUAGUCUUCUGACUUGCCUGUUCGACUCAGACCAUCUAACCCAUGCCAGCAUGGAAAAUGGAUGUUAAAUGAUGAUGAUGAUGAUGAUGAUUACCUCUAACAGCCUUGUUAUUACUUCUGGUCUCCUGAUUGGUUGCUGUUCUUAUUGCAAUUCUAAUCAUGAUCACACCAUCUUUCUCGUACAGCAUAUUGUUAUGGUUUAAAUUUGAUGAGCAGUAGUUGGGGGGGGGGCAUCAUUACUCCCUGCCUCCUACUUUCUUACUCUGGUCACACUCAUAAUCCAUCUUCUUUCAUUCUCUUCAUCACUCUCCUUCCCUCUCCUGGCUGUGAAUGAAUGGAGACAAUGUAAAGGGGUAAUUCUUUAGUUUUACAAGGAACAAGGAAUCUCUAGCAUUGGUGCCUUGAUGAAUGCACCCAGUAAACAAUGUGAAGUAGUUGAAGAAACAGUAGCAGUGUAGAAUAGAGAGGAUGUUUUAGUCUUGCUAAGAACAUACAAACUAGUCUAGUGUUGGUAUCAUAAUAAAAUGCACCUAAUAUUCUCUGUAAAAGUGGUUGGUGCUAUGAAGGGCAUCCAAAUCUCAAAAUGGGACAUAAGAACAAGGACAUGGUCUGUAAACUUGUUUAGGUUUGUAACCCCAAAAGUGAACUGACUCAGCCUCAUGCCAGCAUGGAAAAGUAGGUGUAAACUGGUGGUGGUGGUGGUGGUGACUGCUUCCUCCUCCUUCUUUUUAGCCCUUUUACUGUAGAAAUCAGGUAUAUUCACUCGAAAUUUCAUUACCCUUAACUGUGGGGAGCAGUUUUGUGUCCCAAUCUACCUUUUGUUGAGGAGGAAUGUCAUAUUCGAGAUAUGCCGAGUUUGUUGCGGCAAAGGGACUUGCAGGAAAUAUUUUUUGGGGUAGAUAUUUGACAUCAUUACUGGAAUAGCUAUGAAAUUUUAAUUUUGCAGUUAAAGGCAGUAACAAGUUUAACAGGAAUUCGAAACACUCUGAGUUAACUAUUCAGGGAGACUCUUCUACUAGGUAAUCUGUGUACAAUCAGUGCAUAUAGCUGUCUCAUUCAUCAUCAUCAUCAUCAUCAUUUAGCAUCCAUUUUCCAUGCUGGCAUGGGUUAGAUGGGUUGGACAGUUUAACUGGAACGAGUAAACUGGAGAGCUGUACCAGGCUCCAGUCUGAUUUGGCUUGAUUUCUAUGGCUGAUUGCCUUUCCUAAUGCCAACCACUCCAAGAAUGUAGUGGGUGCCUUUUACAUGUCACUGGCCCCUGUCCACAACUACAGUUUCACUUGGCUUGUCGUGGCUUCUCAAACCCAGUAAAUCACCAAAGGUUUUCAUCACCUCUGUAAGACAACAUUCCAAAGAUUAUGCUUCACCACCUCAUCCCAUAUCUUCCUGGGUCUACCUCUUCCACAGGUUCCCCUCUACAGUUAGAGAUUGGCAUUUCUUUAUGCACUUGUCCUCAUCCAUACGCAUCAUAUGACAUGACCACACCACACCAGUGCAGUCUUCUCUCUUGCACACCACAUCUGAUGCCUCUUAUGCCCAAUUUUUCUCUCAAGACACUUACACUCUGUCGUACAUGCACACUGAUGUGUUUGCUAUCUUAUACCUUACCUGUAUAUUUAAAUUGUGUAUUUGUGCAGGUAUGAUUGAUCAGAUCACAAUGUAUUAUAUAAAAGUAUGUAAAAUGUAAACCAACCAAUUCAUACAAAUAUAGUCUCUACCAAAGAAGUCUUCUGUGGUCAAUUCUGUCCUUAUCAUCCAGUUAUAAAAUAUUGCAUUUUCACCACUAAUUAGGUAAACUUUAUCACAUUUAACUCUUGUAAUGCAGCAAAAAUUGUUUCUAAUUCAGUUACAAGUCCUACAAAUAUGAGAGAAGGGCAGUAAGUCAGUACUGUCAACUCUAUUAUUUAACUGGUACUUUAUAUUAUUAAUCUGUGAGAAAUGAAAGGCUAAGUUGAGCCCUGCAGGAUUUGAAUUGAAGGUGUAAAGAGCCAGACGAAAUACCACAAGGUAUUUUUUUCCAUGUUCUAACAAUUCUUUAACCCUUUAGUGUUCACAUUAUUCUGCCAAAAUUAAUCCUUUUUUAUCCACAUUGUUUUGAACUAAUCAUGCAUUAUCUUGGAGCUAUGAGAUUUUGAUGAGGUAACUGUUAAUUUUUAAAACGAUAUUGUAGGGUUGGUGUGAGAGACCAGAUCUGGCCAGUUUGAACAUAAAACAGGUCAAAUACUUUUGGCCGGAUAUGGCCGGUUUAAAUGCUAAAGGGUUAAUAAUGAUAAUGUUUUGUUCUUUACAGAACUUAUGAUGCUGAAGCUGACUUUCAGAGAAUGAAAAACGCUGGAGUUUUUCAAUGUAUAGAUGCUGAGGGAAACAUAAACACAGACUUUUAAUGGAAUUCGAGAAAUUGUGAGUAUUUCAAUGUUCUAGACAGUAGGACUCCUAUUAUAUUUUUCUUGCUAUUUUCAGACUCAACUCAAAUAAGAGUAAAUGCUCAACUACACACCCGGGGUCAACUCCAGUGAAUAUCCACUUCCUCGGUGUGCAGUCAUAUACUAGAAUCCUCUGUAUUACAGAGGCAUUGCAUUCCAGAAAAGGUUACCAUAUUUGAAAUUUUGUUCCAUGAAAUGUAUUCCCCAUUGACUUUCAUGUAGCAUGGAAAUGAAUGGAAAAUAGGUCUCACUUUGUGGGAUUGGACAUUAUGGCAUGAUUUUAAGAACACGUUUCUGUAACACAGCAGAUGGAUGUAUAACUAUGAGAGAUACCUAGCCCUUGAUUAUUCAGAAAUGUAACUAUGACGGAGUGCUUAUACUUAAGCAGAGCUAAUUAGAGCUUUUCAACAACAAAGUACUUCGAGUUUUAACAACACUUCUAAUAUUUAUGAUGCUGAUACUUUCUGGUAUGUUGGUGGGUGCCUGUGGAUCAAUGUCUUGCCUGAAUUUGAACAGCUUAGUUAUGAUAUUGAUAGUUUUUUCAUAUAUAUAUAUAUAUAUAUAUAUAUAUAUAUAUAUAUAUAUAAUAUUAACAAAAUAGAUGGAAUGUGUAAUAGAUUUUAUUGGGUACAACAUGUUUUGAGCCAUUCUGGGUCUCUUUGGGGUACAUCAAUAAAAAGUUUCACUAGGGAUUUACUGAGUCAGCUUACGUAUCGCUACAUGUCCAUCAAAUCCAAGACUUAUUGAUGUACCCGAAGAGACCCAGAACAGGCCAAAACGUGUUGUACCCAAUAAAAUCUAUUACACAUUCCAUCUAUUUUACUAAUACUGUUACCCCAACCGCCACUACGAAGUUCCUGCAAUAAAUCUACAGAUAACAGCAGGGAAUCAAAACUGUGCCGGUGCUUUACUCAUCAUUUGUUUAUACAUUUUGUGUAAUUUCUCCAUUAUAUAUAUGUGUGUGUGUGUAUAUAUAUAUAUAUAUAUAUAUAUACACACUCGCUGAGUGGUUGGCGUUAGGAAGGGCAUCCAGCUGUAGAAACACUGCCAGAUCAGACUGGAGCCUGGUGCAGCCUUCUGGCUUCCCAGAUCCCCGGUCGAACCGUCCAACCCGUGCUAGCGCGGAAAACGGACGUUAAACGAUGAUGAUGAUGAUAUAUAUAUAUAUAUAUAUAUAUAUAUAUAUAUAUAUAUAUACAUUUACAAGAUAAGGGCAGAAGAAAAAUUCAAUACGGUAAUCACGAAUUUUUUAGAGAUUUCUAUGGGUUUGUUUCGAGACGCAUAAAUUAUAAUGGUUAUCGACAAAAAAUUUUUUGUUUCGGCAUAUUUGGCAUUAAAAUUUUUCUUCUGCCCUUAUCUUGUAAAUUAUAUAUAAAUUUUACCUUUAAAGGCAUUUUUUUGAUAUGCUGGCCAUUGAUAAAAUUUUUUUCCCGAAAAAAAUUUUAUCCUAUAACAAUUAUAUAUAUAUAUAUAUAUAUAUAUAUAUAUAUAUAUAUCAUCAUUCAUCAUCAUUGUUUAACGUCCGCUUUCCAUGCUAGCAUGGGUUGGAUGAUUUGACUGAGGACUAGCAAACCAGAUGACUGGUUAUAUAUAUAUGUGUAUAAAGUAGAAUGAUGUAUCUUGCUUAAGAUUUAACUCUUUAAUAUUUAUAAUGCUGCAAGUGUUAGAUAUGUAUGUCAGUAUAAAACUACUAUUAUGUUAUGCUGUAGGCAUAACAUAGUAAAGAUGUUGGUUAGUGCAGUGCAAGGCAAAGCACUAUGGUAAUUCAGAAAAAAAAUCAACUGAAGCCAAAAACACAGAGUGGAAUGAGAACAGUGUACCUCCAUGGUUCAAAUAAAAGGUUAGGUUUGAAAUUCUGAUACAACAACCAAGUUCAGCGCAAGAGUGCUGAAGAAGGCUGGAGUGAACAAGGGCUGAAACGUAGUGAAAUCAACAAUGAAGAUAAGAACACAUAAUAUAAAUUCCUCAUUUCAGGAAUAGAAAAUUGAAAAAUACUAUUUUGCUGAAAUUAAGGAAAACUUCAUUCCUUUUUCCAAAAAUAACACAUAACAGAUUUUAUUUGAUUAACCCUUUAGUGUUUACAUUAUUCUGCCAAAAUUAAUCCUUUUUUAUCCACAUUGUUUUGAACUAAUCAUGCAUUAUGUUGUAGCUAUGAUAUUUUGAUGAGGUAACUGUAAACUUUUAAAAUGAUAUUGUAGGGUUGGUGUGAGAGACCAGAUCUGGUCGGUUUGAACAUAAAACAGGCAGAGUACUUUCGUCUGGAUAUGGCCAGUUUAAAAGCUAAAGGGUUAAAUAUGACUGUCAGUGUGGUUGAUGAGGGUUAAACCAUUCUCAACACUUAUAUCUUUCUCUGGUUUUUAUAUCAGACUCUCCUGUCAUAAAUGGUGGAUGAGAGUCUUGCAAUUCCUUGCUGAACAACCUGCACACAUGAUUUGCUUAGAGUAAUCCGUUAUUUGUGCUAGACAUUUAGAUCGCUCCCUCUAUCAAAUCGACAUUGCAUGUACACAUGUACGACUAAGCAAUAACAUUCUUUUGUUCCAAAGCACAGCAAGUGAUUGGGGUCUGUUUUACCGACUCCGACUACUCAAUUGUUUCUGACUCCAGCUCCACAGCCCUGGUCUGGAAUUUGAAACCACUAUCUUGCAAUUGUGAGUGCAACACCCUAACCACCAGGCCACUCUGAAUGAAGAUAAAUGCUAAAGUAUUGAAUCUGCAGAAACAAGAUUCUUAAUUUCUUUCUUUAUUUUAUUAUUAUUGCAGAGAUCCUUGGUUCUUUGGUUGAAACAAAAUUCACAGAAACAGCACCAACCAAACCAUUUUGUAUUUAUGUUGACCUUAUAAUAAAAAUGUUUAUAAUUGAUAAUUU
rnacentral:lncRNA from 1 species